rnacentral:lncRNA from 1 species
UUUCAAUUUAUCAUGACUGUAUCAUAAUCAAAGACAUCCCUACGAAGAAAAGCUAGUCAGACAAUAUGACUGCAACUCAUACAUUGUAUAGAAAUACCAACAUGACAUAGAAAUAUCAUUGUCAAUGUCCAGGACUGCAUGAUCAAGCAAUGAAGCAUGACAUAACUUGAUAACUUCUAAGGACAUUUUUGUGUGUUUCGUUAGGCCAUGUGUGGCUUUUCACUUUUCUUUUGACUUUGUGCCCUGUUUAUCGGAAU